GGGAGUGGAGGCAAUCAGGCUCGGGUCGGUUCCCUGCGGGGACUCGACCCAAGAUGAACCCGCAGUGCGAGAGCAUGGCUCCGCGAGGAGUCCACCGGUCAUCCACUGGUCGUCCACCGGAACCGGGCGAGGAGCAGAAACACCGCGGCCCCCGGGAUCAGGUUGAGCCGUUGACGGGAGGAGGCGGAGCUUCGAUUCCUCUGAUUAUGGCUGAACACCCGGAUUCUUCUCCCAGUCCAGAAAUCACACUCUCUGUGGCUUCAUAGUAAACUGACCUGGGCUCAGAAACAAGUAGAGAACUUUACUGACUUCCCAAUGAACCAAUCAGAUGAUCCCAAACGGCCUGAGACCCUGAAUCCUCUUAACUUCACAUGUUCACGUGACUUUAUGACUUUCAAACCUCUGAGGUCAGUGAUUCAGCUUCUGUUCACUCUCCACUUAUUCCCACAAAUGAAAACUCCAUCCCAUCUCCCAGAAGCAGUUUGAGGAUCUGAUGGGAACCAGAGUCAAAGCUCCUCUUCACCUUCAGAGCAUCUCUAACUCCAUCUUCACUCUGAGGAACCAAAGGGUUCAAACCACUGCUCUUCAGACUCUGAGCCUCACGUCCUGUUCACAGUAUCUACAUGUGCACAUCACAGAGUUCCACUGAUUCCUGACUCACUCACACACGUCACACAACCGGCUUCAAACCACAAGUCAAAUUAAAACAGAGGAAAACAUAAAUCACAGCAGGUUUUGACAUCCAGGGGAAACUGAGAAGAUCAUGUGAAAGUUCUCUGUGACUCUGAAGAGCACAUGACCUCACACAGUGACUCAGGAGGAGAGGAGGACGCUGGGUCAUGUUUGGGCUUCAGGAGCUAAUACCAGUAUUUGAUCAUAAUAAAUGUAUGAAUUCUGAAACCUCCCUCACAGCUUUCCUGAGAUAUCACGAGAAACAUCACGAGAACAACACGACGCUGACGCAGAGGCACGAACACUGAUUGAACCUCUCACAACAUUUAAUGAAAUGAGUUUCUAUCAAAAGGCUGAGAACUCAUGAACUCCCAUCAUGCCUCUCUCCUGUUCCUCUUCUGUUGGGUGUGUCUUUUAUUUUGUUGCAUAUUUGUCUCGUUGUGUCUUGAUCACAAAUAUUCUGUAACUGCUCUAAAUCUGAUGUUUCUUAAAUCAAACAAUUUACAUUUUCAUCCCAAGACAAUUUUUUUGUGGUGAAGCCGAAACGUAAACAUCUGGAGGUUUUCGUGUUUGAUGAUUCGAGCGUCUUGGUUGAACUAAUGGCGUUAGCGUGUGGUGUGC